rnacentral:rRNA from 1 species
CAGUAGCCACGGGAAUACGAAGGGUGCAAGCGUUACUCGGAAUUACUGGGCGUAAAGCGUGCGUAGGUGGUUGUUUAAGUCUGUUGUGAAAGCCCUGGGCUCAACCUGGGAAUUGCAGUGGAUACUGGGCGACUAGAGUGUGGUAGAGGGUAGUGGAAUUCCCGGUGUAGCAGUGGAAUGCGUAGAGAUCGGGAGGAACAUCCAUGGCGAAGGCAGCUACCUGGACCAACACUGACACUGAGGCACGAAAGCGUGGGGAGCAAACAGGAUUAGAUACCCCAGUAGUCCCUGUCUCUUAUAA